AAUGAACGCUGGCGGGCGUGCUAACACAUGCAAGUCGAACGGACUGGUUGCCUUGACUAGCAAUAGAAGAGGUGGCCGGUUAGUGGCGAACGGGUGAGUAACACGUGGGUGACCUGCCCCAAAGUGGGGGAUAACUACCCGAAAGGGUGGCUAAUACCGCAUGCGGUCUGUCAUUCGGUUGGCAGACUAAAGGCCCGUAAGGGUCGCUUUGGGAGGGGCUCGCGGCCGAUUAGGUAGUUGGUGGGGUAAUGGCCUACCAAGCCAAUGAUCGGUAGGGGGCGUGAGAGCGUGAUCCCCCACACUGGCACUGAAACACGGGCCAGACUCCUACGGGAGGCAGCAGUGAGGAAUAUUGCGCAAUGGGCGAAAGCCUGACGCAGCAACGCCGCGUGGGCGAUGAAGACCUUCGGGUUGUAAAGCCCUUUUCUGGGGGAAGAGGAAGGACGGUACCCCAGGAAUAAGUCUCGGCUAACUACGUGCCAGCAGCCGCGGUAAGACGUAGGAGGCGAGCGUUAUUCGGAUUUACUGGGCGUAAAGCGCGUGCAGGCGGCUUCGUGAGUCAGGCGUGAAAUCUCCCGGCUUAACUGGGAGGCUGCGUCUGAUACUGCGGAGCUAGAGGUCGGGAGAGGGAAGCGGAAUUCCCGGUGUAACGGUGGAAUGUGUAGAUAUCGGGAGGAACACCAGUGGCGAAGGCGGCUUCCUGGCCCGCACCUGACGCUUAGACGCGAAAGCGUGGGGAGCGAACGGGAUUAGAUACCCCGGUAGUCCACGCUGUAAACGAUGGAUACUAGGUGUCGGUGGUAUUGACCCCAUCGGUGCCGUAGCUAACGCGUUAAGUAUCCCGCCUGGGGACUACGGUCGCAAGGCUAAAACUCAA
rnacentral:rRNA from 1 species